rnacentral:misc_RNA from 1 species
CCGAGUUUACAACUCCCAAACCCCUGUGAACAUACCUAUCGUUGCUUCGGCGGAUCCGCCCCGGUGCCUUCGGGCCCGGACUCAGGCGCCCGCCGGGGGACCCAAACUCUUGUAUUUCUUUAGUAUCUUCUGAGUAAACAAGCAAAUAAAUUAAAACUUUCAACAACGGAUCUCUUGGUUCUGGCAUCGAUGAAGAACGCAGCGAAAUGCGAUAAGUAAUGUGAAUUGCAGAAUUCCGUGAAUCAUCGAAUCUUUGAACGCACAUUGCGCCCGCCAGUAUUCUGGCGGGCAUGCCUGUUCGAGCGUCAUUUCAACCCUCAAGCCCCCGGGCUUGGUGUUGGGGCUCGGCCCGUCCCUAGCGGCGCGCCGUCCCCGAAAUCUAGUGGCGGUCACGCUGUACUCCUCUGCGUAGUAAUCUAACCUCGCAACGGGACAAAGCGCGGCCACGCCGUUAAACCCCCAACUUCUGAAG